rnacentral:rRNA from 1 species
GCUAGCGGGAGGCUUUAUACAUGCAAGUCGAGGGAGAUUCUUUUUUCGGAAAGAUGAACCGGCGCACGGGUGAGUAACGCGUACACUACCUACCUUAUACUGGAGAAUAGCCUUUGGAAACGAAGAUUAAUACUCCAUAGUCUCGCAAGAGUAAAGCUCCGGCGGUAUAAGAUGGGUGUGCGUCUGAUUAGUUUGUUG